UGUGCAAAGGGUUCCUUUAAUGACAUACACAUAUAUAACCGUAUCCAAACAGAAGACAGGGGAGCAGGCACUUAGACAGCCAUUUAAUGUAGCAUAUCAACGGAGUUCACAAGGCAACAUUUCGGUCACAAACUGUGACCUAUAUCAAGUGUGGGCCUGUCCCAGGGCCUGGGGCACUACGUUUAUUUUCCUAUUAUUGCUGUUAGUUAAGGAGAUGUCUGGAGAAAAUCUGACUGUUCAAGUAAAGUUAUUUUGUGAAAUUACAUCUGUAUUUUCUAUCCAAGCCCUUAGGCUCAAGAGAGGUUAGUUUGGACAGUUUCUAUUUUAUGGUUUAAAUACGUGUUUGUGUAUAUGGGGAAGGCUAUGCCUGAAAUUGUGAGAGGGACUGUUGGUCCUACUAAAACCCAGUAGCCCUUGCUUACCUGUCGUCGACUAUUUCUAAAGUUCCCCUCCCGCCUUAAUCAUCUAGGUGGGCCCUCUUUUUUACAGGUCUAACCGCACGUCGGUUUCGGCACACCUCAACGGACUUUGUUCUUAUCAAAUGACAUUAUAUUACAACCAUACGUUCCACUAUUAUCCCAUACACAAAAAUAUAUAUAUAAUUUCCCCUAGCAAGUGGG